rnacentral:lncRNA from 1 species
ACUGUGCCCUGGAUGUGAGACGUGGAAUCAAGGAGAUUAUUUUGGAGCUUUAAGAUGUAAUGGCACCCUGCUGGGUUUCAGACUUGAGUGGAGCCUGCAGCCUCUUUCUUUCAGCCGAUUUCUCCCUUUUGGGACGGAAGUAUUUACCCAAUGCCUGUACCCCCAUGGUGGCAGCUGAGGCUUACUACCCCAGGAAAGGGAUGCCACCAGAGAAGGCAGACAACCAAGAUGGCGACUCUCAAUUUUUGAGCUCCUAAUUUUCUCAUGUCAGACAUAAGAAAAAAAAAAUAUUUUUUAAAGAAAAAGCUUUAGGUUGCAAAAAUCUAGGCCUUUCAACUUUAAAAUCCUAUUCUUGCAAGCCUUGGAGAAUAAAGCUUAUGCAUAAACAGUAGAUUUGGAAAC